CACGGGUAACGGGGAAUCGGGGUUCGAUUCCGGAGAGAGAGCAUGAGAAAUGGCUGUCACAUCCAAGGGUGGCAGCAGGCGCGCAAAUUACCCAAUCCCCGAUCGGGGAGGUAGUGACGAGAAAUAUCGAUGCCGCGAUAUUUUAUCCGGCAGUUGAAAUGAGGACAAUGAAGGGAUUUUAUCGAGAAUCUAUUGGAGGGCAAGUUCUGGUGCCAGCAGCCGCGGUAAUUCCAGCUCGAAGAGCGUAUGUUAAAGUUGCUGCGGUUAAAACGCUCGUCGUUGGACAUCAGGAAAUGGGCCGUAGACAACCAAGUGUUGGUACUACGGUUUCGUUCCUAAUUAAACGCUUGUUGACUGAUGAUGCACUUAACUGUGUGUCACUUUAGAGGGCCACUGUCACUUUGAGAAAUUCAGUGUGCUCAACGCAGGCUUUGUGCUUGAAUAAUGCUGCAUAGGAUGACGGAAAAAGGCUUCGGCUCCGUUUCGUUGGUUUUCGAAAGCAGAGGUCAUGAUUAAUCGGGACAGACGGGGGCAUUCGUAUUGCGGUGCUAGAAGUGAAAUUCCGUGACCAUCGCAAGACGAACAACUGCGAAAGCAUUUGCCAAGAAUGUUUUCAUUAGUCAAGAACGAAAGUUAGAGGAUCGAAGACGAUUAGAUACCGUCCUAGUUCUAACUGUAAACUGUGCCAGCUGGGCAUUCGCCAACGCCUUAUCUUGGCGAGCACUCUCCGGGAAACCAAAGUGAUCGGGUUCCGGGGAGAGUAUGGUUGCAAAAUCGAAACUUAAAGGAAUUGACGGAGGGGCACACCAGAAGUGGAGCCUGCGGCUCAAUUUGACUCAACGCACGAAAGCUUACUCGGUCCGAACACUGCGAGGAUUGACAGGUUGAAAGCUCUUUCUUGAUUCAGUGGGUAGCGGUGCAUGGCCGUUCGUAGUUGGUGAAGUGAUUUGUCUGGUUUAUUCCGAUAACGAACGAGACUCUAGCCCAUUAAUUAGCGUGGCGAUUCUGUGUCGUCAUUGUGCUUCUUAGAGGGACAGGUGCUGCUUAAGCACACGAAGCUGAGCAAUAACAGGUCUGUGAUGCCCUUCGAUGUUCGAGGCUGCACGCGCGCUACAAUGGAGGGUACAGAGCGCACAACGCUUCCCGGCAGGGACGCGGAACCGAAAAUGCCCUUCGUGACUGGGAUCGGGGAUUGAAAUUGUUUCUCGUGAACGAGGAAUUCCUAGUAAGCGCGGGUCAUUAUCUCGUGUUGAUUAAGUCCCUGCCCUUUGUACACACCGCCCGUCGCUACUACCGAUGAAUGGUUUGGUGAGGUCUGCGGAUAGGUGUCG
rnacentral:rRNA from 1 species